CUUUGGAAAAGAUCAUCUCUAAGUGAUACAUCCUAGAUGGCUUCUCACAGCAUAUAUGCCUCCCUCUCCAGACUGUUUGACAACUGUCCUAGACUGUGCUGGGACGUGGUUUAACUUCCUCUCACUCAGGAUGCCCUUUCCAGUUCUACACAGAUGUAGAUACCCACCGCAUUCUAUAAUACUCACUCAUUUUCCAAGACACAAAGAGGUGUGAAUUAUACAGCUAUGGAACGUAGACACAGCUCUUUGGAUGAGCAAAAGCCUCAGAUCAACUUUCAUGUUUCAUAAGUAUUGUUUCCAUGGUGAUGGUCUAUCACGAACUUUGGCCAUGCCCCCGUGAGAUGCCGGGUCAUCAGCGGGUACCUAUGAAGUCAUCAGAUCUCCGGGAGGACAAUGGCGGGUGUCUGCGCGAGGUGUCUUUAUGAAAGCAUGAUGCAGUUAACUGGAAAAAGAGAAAAAGCAGGAAACCAAAUAGCACAUUUGGGAAUGGAGAAGUUCCUGGCUAAGGUUGUUAUUCCUAAUGGACGCACAUAAAUUCCAUCUUCUACUAUUUGCAAACAGCUGACCAAACUGUAGGGUCCGUGCAAAUUCAUCAACAAAAACUAUUAAGAGGCCAAACAUUUUUUUAGCUCAAUAUGCAGACAACUCAGAUACAAUGGGGCCUAAUAAGAUUCUGAAUUCUCCUAGGAGAGUCACAAUGAAACUGCAAGUUACUGUUUUCAGAUCACGCAGCUGUACUGGGAAUACAGAGGAGAAGUAAAGAGUGAAAGCAAUGGAGAAGUUCUCUGCUCACAGACUGCAUGGUAUGUGUACUCACUUGAGCUGUUUACAUCUGACAGCAGCUGUCUCCAACUGCGAACAUACCAAUAGAAGCCAGUUACAAAAGUAAUGUAGACCCCCUGGAAUCUGACUGCCAUUAACUUAUCCAAACUAAGAAGGCUCUCACAUUGUUUCAUUUUGAGGCCUAGAAUACCAAAGUGACAGGACAUAAAUCUGCCCUCUUCCAAAUAUUAACAACACAGGUAGAUUUGUGGAUCUACAGAAACCCGACAAGACUUAAUACAAAUGUAAACGCAAACUGUUGUAAAAAUAUGCAGUGUAUAAAUCCCAUACACAAAGCCCCAGUUGUUAAAGAACUGCGCUUUACAGAUAACUUUAGGACAUAAAGCAAAAUGGUUUUCUAUUUCUGCAUUCUCAUGUACCUAAAAUGUCUAACAUCCUAACACAAAAGAUCUGCAUUGUAGUCGCAGUAUGCAUAAAUAGACUGUACAGAGAUGCACUUAACUGUGUUAGUAACUAGUAAGAAGCUAGACUGUACAUGCUUAUGCCAUGCCCUCCAACUGUACCUUUUUGGCCGGUAUAGUACCGUUUUUUUAUGGUCUGUACCGGCCAAAAAGGGUCUUGUGCAGAUUUCAGUGUCUGCAUUAUCCUAGAUUCCUAUGGCAGCGCCGCUUAGCCAUGCCUCCUUUUCCCAUUGCCACGCCACUUUCAGAGUUUGUACCUUUUUUUUGUUUUGUUUAAGCAUGUCGGAGGGUGUGUUAUGCAUAACUAGACUAUACA